rnacentral:rRNA from 1 species
GACAGAGGGUGCAAACGUUGUUCGGAAUUACUGGGCGUAAAGCGCGUGUAGGCGGCGAUGCAAGUCGGAUGUGAAAGCCCUCGGCUCAACCGGGGAAGUGCACCCGAAACUGCAACGCUAGAGUCUCGGAGAGGAUCGUGGAAUUCUCGGUGUAGAGGUGAAAUUCGUAGAUAUUCGCAAGAACACCAGUGGCGAAGGCGGCUCUCUGGGACGGUACUGACGCUGAGACGCGAAAGCGUGGGGAGCAAACAGG